UGGCAGGUAUAGUUCCAGAGAUUUGAUUGAACGAGAUAUCUCUGAGGCAAGAACCGAUCAAUAGAAAAAGGCAACAAGGUACAACUUUAGCACUGUUUUCUCGUUAAAAUCCUCGGUUUCAACCACACAACAGAAGAAAAGCUCAAAAA